GCGCCCGUAGCUCAGCUGGAUAGAGCGCUGCCCUCCGGAGGCAGAGGUCAGGGGUUCGAAUCCCUUCGGGCGCGCCA
rnacentral:tRNA from 15 species